GUGCAGCAGGCGCGAAACUUUACAAUGUGCGAAAGCACGAUAAGGGAACUCUGAGUGCCUCCUAAGGAGGCUGUUCAGGUGUCUGAAAGCACCUGAAGGAAGGGCUAGGUAAGACCGGUGCCAGCCGCCGCGGUAACACCGGCAGCCCAAGUGGUAGCCACGUUUAUUGGGUCUAAAGCGUCCGUAGCCGGCUGGGUAAGUUCCUUGGGAAAUUUGGCUGCUUAACAGUCAAGCUUUCAGGGAAUACUGCCCGGCUAGGGACCGGGAGAGGUCAGAGGUACUCCAGGGGUAGGGUGAAAUCCAUUAAAUCCUUGGGGGACCACCGGUAGCGAAGGCGUCUGACCAGACCGGGUCCGACGGUGAGGGACGAAGGCUAGGGGCGCGAACCGGAUUAGAUACCCCUGUAGU
rnacentral:rRNA from 1 species